UACGUAGGGUGCAAGCGUUUGUCCGGAAUUAUUGGGCGUAAAGAGCUCGUAGGCGGUCUGUCGCGUCGGCUGUGAAAACCCGGGGCUCAACCCCGGGCCUGCAGUCGAUACGGGCAGACUAGAGUGCGGUAGGGGAGACUGGAAUUCCUGGUGGUAGCGGUGAAAUGCGCAGAGUAUCAGGAGGAACACCGGUGGCGAAGGCGGGUCUCUGGGCCGUAACUGACGCUGAGGAGCGAAAGCGUGGGGAGCGAACAGG
rnacentral:rRNA from 1 species